GGCCUACGGGAGCCAGCAGUGGGGAAUAUUGCGCAAUGGGCGAAAGCCUGACGCAGCGACGCCGCGUGAGGGAUGAAGGUCUUCGGAUCGUAAACCUCUGUCAGGAGGGAAGAAGCGGUUAUAUGCGACUAGUGUAUGACUUUGACGGUACCUCCAAAGGAGGCACCGGCUAACUCCGUGCCAGCAGCCGCGGUAAUACGGAGGGUGCGAGCGAUAAUCGGAAUCACUGGGCGUAAAGCGCGCGUAGGCGGCUUUUCAAGUCAGGGGCGA
rnacentral:rRNA from 1 species